rnacentral:rRNA from 1 species
AAUAGGAUGUGAUUCGUUAAUUGGAUAACUGUGGUAAUUCUAGAGCUAAUACAUGCAUAUACGGCUGAACUUUGUUUGGCUGUGCUUUUAUUAGUGCAAACCAGGCCUUCGGGCUGCAAAAUGGUGACUCUGAAUAACUUUGCUGAGCAUUUGGACCUUGUGUCAGUGCUAUUCCUUUAAAGUAUCUGCUCUAUCAACUGUCGAUGGUAUAUUAUAUGUUUACCAUGGUUGUAACGGGUAACGGGGAAUUAGGGUUCGAUUCCGGAGAGGGAGCCUGAGAAACGGCUACCACAUCUAAGGAAGGCAGCAGGCGCGCAAAUUACCCAAUCCCGGCUCGGGGAGGUAGUGACAAAAAAUAACAAUGCGGGACUCUUAUGAGGCUUCGUAAUUGGAAUGAGUACAUUCUAAAUCCUUUAACGAGGAACUAUUGGAGGGCAAGUCUGGUGCCAGCAGCCGCGGUAAUUCCAGCUCCAAUAGCGUAUAUUAAAGUUGUUGCGUCUAAAAAGCUCGUAGUUUGAAAACUUGCCUUGGCUUACAACAGACGUCUAAGGGCGUCACCGUUUGUCGAGAGCAAAUAUGGGUGACUGUUCUUGCCUUCUUCACUGAUUGGCUCGUAAAAGUCAUCGAAGAUCACUUUGAUUAAAUUAGGGUGCUCAAAGCAAGUGUGCUACUUGAAUAUGAAUGCAUGGAAUGAUGGAAUAUGUUGUUGUUCUAUUUGUUGGUUUUUUGAAUGACGAAAUGAUUGAAAGGAACUGUUGGGGGCAUUCGUAUUGUUGUGAGAGAGGUGAAAUUCUUAGACCAUAGCAAGACGAACUACUGCGAAAGCAUUUGCCAAGAAUGUUUUCAUUGAUCAAGAACGAAAGUUAGAGGUUCGAAGGCGAUCAGAUACCGCCCUAGUUCUAACCAUAAACUAUGCCGACUAGCAAUUUGCUUUGUAUUUUUAUGACUAAGUGAGAGGCCACGGGAAACCAAAGUAGGGUUAUGGGGGAAGUAUGGUUGCAAAGCUGAAACUUAAAGGAAUUGACGGAAGGGCACCACCAGGAGUGGAGCCUGCGGCUUAAUUUGACCCAACACGGGAAAACUUACCUGGUCCUGACACUAGAAGGAUUGACAGAUUGAUAGCUCUUUCUUGAUUUGGUGGAUGGUGGUGCAUGGCCGUUCUUAGUUGGUGGAGUGAUUUGUCUGGUUAAUUCCGAUAACGAACGAGACUCUAGCCUAUUAAAUAAUAUGCGGAAUCAAUUUCUCCCGCGUUAUUUCUUAAUGGGAUCAAGCGUGUUUAACGCUUUGAAACAGAGCAAUAACAGGUCUGUGAUGCCCUUAGAUGUUCGGGGCUGCACGCGCGCUACAUUGAAGA